UACGUAGGUGGCAAGCGUUGUCCGGAAUUAUUGGGCGUAAAGCGCGCGCAGGCGGAUCUGCCAGUCUGUCUUAAAAGUUCGGGGCUUAACCCCGUGAUGGGAUGGAAACUACAGAUCUAGAGUAUCGGAGAGGAAAGUGGAAUUCCUAGUGUAGCGGUGAAAUGCGUAGAUAUUAGGAAGAACACCAGUGGCGAAGGCGACUUUCUGGACGAAAACUGACGCUGAGGCGCGAAAGCCAGGGGAGCGAACGGGAUUAGAUACCCCGGUAGUCCUGGCCGUAAACGAUGGGUACUAGGUGUAGGAGGUAUCGACCCCUUCUGUGCCGUAGUUAACGCAAUAAGUACCCCGCCUGGGGAGUACGACCGCAAGGUUGAA
rnacentral:rRNA from 1 species